rnacentral:rRNA from 1 species
UUCCUACGGGAGGCUGCAGUAGGGAAUAUUGCACAAUGGAGGAAACUCUGAUGCAGCGACGCCGCGUGAGUGAUGAAGGCCUUCGGGUCGUAAAGCUCUGUCGUAUGGGACUAACAAAAUGAAGGUACCAUGCAAGAAAGGAUCGGCUAACUUCGUGCCAGCAGCCGCGGUAAGACGAGGGAUCCUAGCGUUGUUCGGAAUUAUUGGGCGUAAAGCGGGUGUAGGCGGUCUUAUAAGUCAGGUGUGAAAUCCCAGGGCUCAACCCUGGAAGUGCACUUGAUACUGUAAGACUUGAGUGUGGUAGAGGCUAUUAGAAUUCCUGGUGUAGUGGUGAAAUACGUAGAUAUCAGGAGGAAUACCGGAGGCGAAGGCGGAUAGCUGGGCCAACACUGACGCUGAGACCCGAAAGCGUGGGGAUCAAACAGGAUUAGAUACCCCAGUAGUC